GAUGAACGCUGGCGGCGUGCCUAAUACAUGCAAGUCGAGCGAACAGAUGAGGAGCUUGCUCCUCUGACGUUAGCGGCGGACGGGUGAGUAACACGUGGAUAACCUACCUAUAAGACUGGGAUAACUUCGGGAAACCGGAGCUAAUACCGGAUAAUAUAUUGAACCGCAUGGUUCAAUAGUGAAAGACGGUUUUGCUGUCACUUAUAGAUGGAUCCGCGCCGCAUUAGCUAGUUGGUAAGGUAACGGCUUACCAAGGCAACGAUGCGUAGCCGACCUGAGAGGGUGAUCGGCCACACUGGAACUGAGACACGGUCCAGACUCCUACGGGAGGCAGCAGUAGGGAAUCUUCCGCAAUGGGCGAAAGCCUGACGGAGCAACGCCGCGUGAGUGAUGAAGGUCUUCGGAUCGUAAAACGCUGUUAUUAGGGAAGAACAAAUGUGUAAGUAACUAUGCACGUCUUGACGGUACCUAAGCAGAAAACCACGGCUAACUACGU
rnacentral:rRNA from 1 species